rnacentral:lncRNA from 1 species
UUAGAAUUUAGGGUUUGGAUUAGGAUUUUAUUUAGGAUUUAGGGUUUGAUUUAGGAUUUAGUUGGAGUUUAUUUAGGGUUUAAAGUUUGGUUUAGGAUUUGGAUUAGAAUUUAAUUAGGAUUUGAUUUAGAGUUUAGGCUUUGGUUAGGGUUUGAUUUAGGAUUUAGGGUUUGGAUUAGGAUUUGGUUAGGAUUUGAUUUAAGAUUUAGGGUUUGGUUUAGGAUUUGGUUAGGAUUUGGUUUAGGAUUUAGUUGGGAUUUAGUUUAAGGUUUGUUUAGGGUUUAAUUUAGAUUUUAGGAUUUUAUUAGGAUUUAAGAUUCAAUUAGUUUUUGCCUAAAGUUUGAAUGAAGUUCAAUAGGAUUUUAACUAGAAUUAAAUUAAGAUUGAAUUGAAAUGUAUUUGAGUGAUAUUUGUGAUCCUUCUAAUAUUU